rnacentral:rRNA from 1 species
AAAAUAAAAAUUAAUAAUGGGGGUUAUUAAUAAAAAAAAUUUUAUUAUAUUAAAUUUUAAGUAGGGUUAUUUGAAAAAAUUGAAUAUUUUAUAGCUAAUUAGUAUUGUAAAAGAAUUUUGAAAAUAUAUGAAAAUAAAUUUAUUGAAAAGUAAUUUUAAUUUAAUGUAUCUUGUGUAUCAGAGUUUAUUAAUAAAAUAAUUAUUUUUAAUUUUUUUCGAAUUUAAAAGAGAUAAUUAUUUAUUAAAGUUAUUGUUGCAUAAAUAUUUUAAAUAAUUAAUUUGAAAUGAAAUGUUAAUCGUUUUUAAAUAUAUCUAGUUUUUUUAGAAAAAAAUUUAAUUUUAAAUUAAUAUUUAAUAAUUAAUUUAUUUUUCUUAUAAUUUUAUUAUUAAAUUAAUUUUAUAUUUUAAGGGAUAAGCUUUAAAUUAAAUUUUUAUAAUUUUUGAUCUUUUUAAUUAAAAUUUUUAUUAUUUAUAUUGUAAAUAAAUUUUAUUUUAUUAUAAAUAAUUUUAUAUUUGUUUAAAAUUUAAUUUAAAUUUAAUUUUUUAUAAAAAAAAAAUUUUUAAUUUAAUAAAAUAUGAUAUAAUGAUAAAAUUAGUAUAUUAAUUUAAUUUAAUAGGGUGUUAUUAUAUGAUUAUUAAUUUUAAGGAAUUCGGCAAAAUUUUAUGUCCACUUGUUUAUCAAAAACAUGUCUUUUUGAUUUUAAUUUAAGGUUUAAUCUGCCCACUGAUGAAUAUUAAAGGGCUGCAGUAUUUUGACUGUACAAAGGUAGCAUAAUCAUUAGUCUUUUAAAUGGUGACUUGUAUGAAUGAUUGGAUGAGAUAUAAGCUGUCUUAAAUUUAUUUAAUAGAAUUUAAUUUUUUAAUUAAAAAGUUAAAAUAUGUUAAAAAGACGAGAAGACCCUAUAGAGUUUUAUAAAUAAUAUUAGAUUAAGAAUAUUUAUAAAGUUAAAAUUAUUUGAAAUUUAUUUAUUUAUUUGAUUGGGGUGAUUAAAAAAUUUAAUUAACUUUUUUUAAUUUUUAACAUAGAUAAGUGAUUUGAUGGAUCCAAUUUUAUUGAUUGAAAGAAAAAAUUACCUUAGGGAUAACAGCGUAAUUUUUUUUUUUAGUUCAUAUAAGAAAAAGAGUUUGCGACCUCGAUGUUGGAUUAAGAUGAAAUUUAAAUGUAAAAGUUUGAGUGUUUUGAUCUGUUCGAUCAUUAAAAUCUUACAUGAUCUGAGUUCAAACCGGUGUGAGCCAGGUUGGUUUCUAUCUUUUAGGAAAAAUAAUAUUUUAGUACGAAAGGAUCGAAUAUUAAAAUUAAAUUUAAUAUUUAAAGAAUAUUAUUAAAAUUUAUUUAAAAUUAGUAAAAUUUAUAAGAUUUGUAUUUAAUAAUAAAUGAUAAUUAAAUUUUAUUGUUAAUAAGAGAAAAAUUUAAUUAAUUAAUUUUAAUUCAUAAUAUGUUUAUUUAUUAAUAA